rnacentral:misc_RNA from 1 species
AUGCUUUCUCAGCACCUAACCA